rnacentral:rRNA from 1 species
AACGAACGCUGGCGGCGUGCCUAACACAUGCAAGUCGUGCGGGAAAGUUCCCUUCGGGGAGCGAGUAUAGCGGCGCACGGGUGAGUAAUACGUAGGUAACCUGCCCUCAAGUUCGGGACAACCUGUCGAAAGACGGGCUAAUACCGGAUGAGACCACGAGAGCUGCGGCUCUUGGGGUCAAAGGUGGCCUCUGCUUGCAAGCUAUCGCUUGAGGAUGGGCCUGCGCGCCAUUAGCUAGUUGGUGGGUAACGGCCUACCAAGGCAGAGAUGGCUAGCUGGUCUGAGAGGAUGACCAGCCACACUGGGACUGAGACACGGCCCAGACUCCUACGGG